GACAGAGGGUGCAAACGUUGUUCGGAAUUACUGGGCGUAAAGCGCGUGUAGGCGGCUAAGUAAGUCGGGCGUGAAAUCCCACGGCUCAACCGUGGAAGUGCACUCGAAACUGCAUAGCUAGAGUCCUGGAGAGGAAGGUGGAAUGCUUGGUGUAGAGGUGAAAUUCGUAGAUAUCAAGCGGAACACCGGUGGCGAAGGCGGCCUUCUGGACAGUGAC
rnacentral:rRNA from 1 species